GACGAACGCUGGCGGCAUGCCUAAUACAUGCAAGUCGAACGCUGAAGCACUCUGCUUGCAGAGUGCGGAUGAGUGGCGAACGGGUGAGUAACACGUGGGAAAUCUGCCUAUAAGAGGGGGAUAACAUUCGGAAACGGAUGCUAAUACCGCAUAUAUUCUUGGACCGCCUGGUCCUUGAAAGAAAGACGGCUUUGCUGUCGCUUAUAGAUGAUCCCGCGGCGUAUUAGUUAGUUGGUGGGGUAAAGGCCUACCAAGACAAUGAUACGUAGCCGACCUGAGAGGGUGAUCGGCCACACUGGGACUGAGACACGGCCCAGACUCCUGCGGGAGGCAGCAGUAGGGAAUCUUCCACGAUGGGCGAAAGCCUGAUGGAGCAAUGCCGCGUGAAUGAAGAAGGUCUUCGGAUCGUAAAGUUCUGUUAUUAGAGAAGAACAAGUCAAGGAGUAACUGUCUUGACUUUGACGGUACCUAACCAGAAAGUCACGGCUAACUACGUG
rnacentral:rRNA from 1 species